GCUGGUGUGGCUCAGUGGAUAAGGCGUCAGCCUGCAGACUGAAGAGUCCCGGGUUCGAAUCCCGGUCAAGGGCA
rfam:Myotis brandtii contig142892, whole genome shotgun sequence.